rnacentral:rRNA from 1 species
GACGAAGGUGGCGAGCGUUGUUCGGAAUCACUGGGCAUAAAGCGCACGUAGGCGGUGCCGUAAGUCGGAUGUGAAAUCCCUCGGCCUAACCGAGGAACUGCGUCCGAUACUGCGGUGCUUGAGGAUCAGAGGGGUGCAUGGAAUUUCCGGUGGGGCGGUGAAAUGCGUUGAUAUCGGAAGGAACUCCGGCGGCGAAAGCGAUGCACUGGCUGAUUUCUGACGCUGAGGUGCGAAAGCCAGGGGAGCAAACGGG